UUUUAUCGUUACUGAAGGAAAAGCAGGCCCCUUGGCGUUCAGCAUAACAGAUGGCAAAACUAAUUCAACUGGAGUAUCAACAGUUCCAGUUUAUGAUUUACCAAACACUUGCCCUCCGACAACAACCACGCAGCCAACUACACCAACGAUAACGGUGGCUCCAACAACAACCCCAUGCGAGUGUGCCCCAACAACCCCAUGCGAGUGUGAUUGUGGUUCUGAUGAAGAAUCGUAUGGUAAACGGAAGAGCAAGAAGCAAGGAAAGGGCAAAAAACAACCUGGCUAAAGUCAAAAGGGCGUUACGGUGAUCGCCCACGAAAGCGGAAGGCGUCGACGUUCAGCUCUGACAUUCAUUUCUAUAAAUGCAAUGUACAAAGUAUGAACAAAUAAAU